UUUUUGAACACUGUGGAUACCGUCGGAAAUUCACGACAGCUGGUCUCAUUUGCUUGUCCUAAGGACAUUUGCUUGUCCUGCAGACUCCCUCCCGGUAGCAACCUCUCAUCUCCAUCCACCUUGUAAUCUCGGCAGUACUACUGAGGAGCCUAACAGAUCUGCUGGUCCACCAGUAAAACAACAGUGAACUCCUGAGAGAGAUUCAUCCACUGCUUGACCUCGUCGUAUGGAAACCAAGGCCAAGAGCGGGGCACCCGUGCCCAAGGGUGUCCCUAGAGCAGAGAAGAAGGAGCCUGUUGCCCCCCGUAAGGCAGACCCUGCCCCAGAUGCCCCAGCUGCCCCAGCUUCCCCAGAGGUCGAGAACCCCCUUCCUCCCCCCCAGGAUGGAGCAGCAGAGCAGGAGGCGGCGCCAGAGGGUGGCCAAGGGGAGGUGGCUGCCAGCACAGACUCUCUAGAAUCCCUGAAACCCUUUUUGAUUGGUGGAGCCAUCAUUGCUGCCGGGGCCAUCCUGCUUGGAGUGCUUCUAUUGGCACGGAGAAAUUAGAACCAGCCCUUUGUCUUCAUAUGCUAUUGGUCAAUGGGUUAGCUGGUCACUUACUGAUGUGUGUAAUAAUAGACUAUUAAGGCUGUUUGGUAGAGAUGGGGAAUGGGGCUUUCAGUCUGACUUUGCUUGUAGUGAAUAUACCCAUAUCAGUGAUGUUUUAAAUUAAACAUUUUGGUCCCUGAUGGCUAGAUAAUGCCAGUAUACUGCAUGAAUUUGCUCCACCCAUGUGAUUGCACCAUCUUACUCACACUGGUGCACAGACUUCAGAAAUCAAUAGAAGUCAAUCAUAUAGUAGAUGCACACUCAGCAAUACUGAGCUCAUUUACCACUGCCUUUCAGUACAUCAAUUGGCUUUACCUAUUUAAUCGGAUUUGCACAUCAAAAGAGAAACACAUUCUUAAUCUCUGUAUGUUUUUGCACAAGACAUUUGAUUUGGUCCAAUUUCGAAUAGCAGUCCCUUCUCUCUGACAUUUCACACUAAACACUUGCAAGUAAUAACAGUUCAACCAAGGAUGUUGAAUUUUUCAAUAUUCAGUUUGUUCAAUGGUUUUUAUGCUACAUACAUUUCUGUCUGGAUCGCUCUGCUCAAAUUAAAUCAAAUUACCAUUGUCUCCUUAUCAACCCUGUCGGAUAGUGGAGUGUAAUAAGUAAGACAGUAAUCUAUGGUUGUUAGUGUUGACCAUUUCUCAGUCAAAUAUCAGUUUAACCUUAAUUUUCUGUCUGAUAACAGUUAAAGAAUGUCUGAAAGGCUAUCUGAUUCAGGCCAUCCCUAUGUCAGAUGCUGGAUUACUGAGAGGAGCACAAACAAAGACAUUUAGAAACUCAACCUAUUGCCAAACAUGUGCUGUGUUUUAGUGAAGCAGAGGCACACUGUGACCAGAUGUCAUCAAUAUGAAAAGCUUGGUACUCACAACGUCACCACACAUACUAUACAGUAAACAACAUGUACAGUAGACAGGUUUGGUAGAUUAGAGACACACUCUCCAGUCUCCAGAGAGUCAAAGGUAACCAGGGACUUCAUCCUUAUGGAAUAUGGAAACAUCCCCAAUUGGAGUCAUAGUUAAUUCUAUAGUUUGUGUUAAGAAUAAAGGGUGCAUGUUAUAACAAUAUAUUGUUAUAUUGUAUAAUUAUUAUAAUGUUAUGAAAUAAUAUAAUGUUGGAAUUUAUUUUCAAACUAUUGUAAAUUAAUUGUAAUGUAUGUACAAAUUAUUCCCCAAGAGAUUAUAUAGGUGGAAUUCAAAAAGCUAAAUCUGUUCUUCACCAUUGACAUAUCACAAGUUUUGAGGGUUAUGUAUGAUAUUGGUGUGUUAUUGAAUUUGACAGUAGACCAAUAUUAUUCUUAUAGUUUAUAUCUUUGUCAAUCUACUAAUCCCAGGAGCAGCAUUUUAAAAUUACAUCACAAUGACUAUCGAUGGACCUAAUUCUCUCAUCAAUCUAAAGUAAAUUGCAAACCAACACAGUUGGUACAAGCUAAAGUUAUGCUAGAGGAUUAUCACAACACAACCUUAUAGCUUUUGUAUCUCUUGCGUUAUGUCAAGUAUUACAUUUGAACACAUAAGUAGUCCAAACAUCCUGCAUGAAUACUAGCCUUUAGUUUAAUAUGAUGUAGUAAUCACCCAAACAAAGCAACAGGCGUGUGUUACGCCAAAUAACCUUCACAUUUUACUGUAUAACAUACAGAAUUAAACAAAAAAAUCUCUUAUUUUAUUUUCCUUUGUUUCAAGAGCGUAUAAAUGCAAUAAUUCCGGUAGGACUCUUUAUUUCAGCACGUUUGGUAAAUCUGUAGCAAUUAAAUUGAUCAGCAGGAUCAACAAGGGUGAUGAUGACGAGGGUGGUGAUAAUGGACAUGGAAUAUGAUGAUGAUGAUGAUGAUGAUGAUGUAGCCUAUUCUUGAUAUUCUCUGUUCCAUGCCACACCUUCCAUUUUACACACUCUCUCCCUGGCCCCCCAAAGCUCAUAAUGAUAACCCAAAAAGGAAAUGGUUCCCUUGUAACUACAGCUGACCUGUAAUAAAGACAAUGAACCA